rnacentral:rRNA from 1 species
CACGGAGGGUGCAAGCGUUGUUCGGAAUCACUGGGCGUAAAGGACGCGCAGGCGGUCCGGUAAGUCGGAAGUGAAAUCCGUCGGCUCAACCGACGAAUGGCUUCCGAUACUGCCGGACUUGAGUACGGGAGAGGAAAGCGGAAUUCCCAGUGUAGAGGUGAAAUUCGUAGAUAUUGGGAAGAACACCGGUGGCGAAGGCGGCUUUCUGGACCGAUACUGACGCUGAGGCGUGAAAGCGUGGGGAGCAAAC